rnacentral:rRNA from 1 species
GUCCUUUUGAGUUUAAUUUAAGGUUUAACCUGCCCACUGAAAUUUUUUGAAGGGCCGCAGUAAUUUGACUGUGCAAAGGUAGCAUAAUCAUUAGUUUUUUAAUUGAAAGCUUGUAUGAAGGGUUGGACGAGGUAAAUUCUGUCUCUAUUUAAUUUUUUAUAGAAUUUAAUUUUUAAGUUAAAAAGCUUAAAUUUUUUUAAAAGACGAGAAGACCCUAUAGAUCUUUAUAUUAAAAAUAUUAAUUUUAAUUAAGAAUAUUUAAUUUUUUAGUAUUUAUAAUAUUUUAUUGGGGUAAUAAAAAGAUUAAAUAAAUUCUUUUUUUGUUUUAACAUUUAUUUAUGAUUAAAUGAUCCAAUUUUAUUGAUUAAAAGAUUAAGUUACCUUAGGGAUAACAGCGUAAUUUUUUUUGAGAGUUCAUAUCGAUAAAAAAGUUUGCGACCUCGAUGUUGGAUUAAAAAUUAUCUUAGGUGCAGAAGUUUAAGAUUUUGGUCUGUUCGACCAUUAAAUUUUUACAUGAUCUGAGUUCAGACCGGUGUAAGCCAGGUCGGUUUCUAUCUUUAAUAAAAUAUAAUAUUUUAGUACGAAAGGACCAAAUAUUUAAUAUAUUUAUAUUAAUUAUUUUGAAUAU